GGAUGUGAGGGCAUCUGCCUGCGGCAUCUCACCCCGUGGAUCGCCAGGGUUGAUUCGCUGCUGCGGCCGGCGAGGCGCGUGUCCCCUGCCUCCGUGGCCGCUGCUGUGCGUCCCUCCCGAAGCUGCGCGCUCGGUCCCGCAGGGCGACCUUCCCCGCUCGAGGAGGACCGUUCUUCUGUCCAGGGUGUACGGGUAGCUGCGCUCGCCUGCUAGAACCUCCAGGAAAGCUCUCAGGGGAACAUAGAUAAAGCGGAGUUGAUAUUUGAAUUCACUGUGGAGCUGACUCCAGAGUUGAUAGUAUUUCAUUCCUU
rnacentral:snRNA from 1 species